UACGUAGGGUGCGAGCGUUAAUCGGAAUUACUGGGCGUAAAGCGUGCGCAGGCGGUUUUGUAAGCCAGAUGUGAAAUCCCCGGGCUUAACCUGGGAAUGGCAUUUGGGACUGCAAGGCUGGAGUGUGGCAGAGGAGAGUGGAAUUCCCGGUGUAGCGGUGAAAUGCGCAGAUAUCAGGAAGAACACCCGUGGCGAAGGCGGGUCUCUGGGCCGAUACUGACGCUGAGGAGCGAAAGCGUGGGGAGCAAACAGG
rnacentral:rRNA from 1 species